AGAAAUGCUGUAGCAUAAUAAAGGGAGCAGAUGAAUGACUGAAGCCCUACAGCUCCACUAAAGAUUAGAGUAAAAUCUGCACUUCAAAAGAUCCUGGUAAAGCAGGGAAGGUCCUUAGCUUUCCAUUUUAAGUGGGAAUGAGACAAGGGGAUGGGGAUGAAAGAACUGGGAGCCAUCAUUGCCAGAUGCAUGUUUGCAGAGCAGUGUGGGGAUCACCUCAUCUGUCCUUCAAGGUUCUGCAAUGCUCUGCCUUCAUUUUCCUUCUCAAGUUAACAGAUAUAUUCUGACUCUGUCUUUCAUGCUCAGUAUUCUUGCAAGAGAACAGAGCUCCUGAUCACCUGUGUGCGUCCUUUGAGUGGAUGGCAGCUGCAUCUCUGCAUUACAGCUAGUUAGAAUGAUGAGUCCUUGCUAUGCCUCAAGCACUGUUUCGAGUGUUUGAUGUCUAUUAUCUCACUUCAUCCUCACCAGGACCCCAUCCGAGGAUUUGCGACUUGAGUAGCAUUGACGGUGGUGAUGGGGAGCCUGGCAAGACAGCAGAUGUCUACAGCAAGAGGAGGGAAUGGGAAGCUGCUCUGAUGGCGUAAUCAUCAAGGUUGCUGAUAAAAUGGCCUUAAUUUCAGUUGACAGUAACUAUUGGAUCCCCAGGAAUAUGUUUGCAUAUUUGGGGAGAAAAUACUAUUGGAGGGGAACAGAAAUGCUACUAAGGUAAGUUUUUGUGAUAUACACAUAUACAUUAUAUAAAAAUAUAUCAAUAUAUACAAAUAUUAUCAUUAUUAUAAAAAUAUAUGAUUAUAUAAAAUAUAUACGAUUUUUCUAGUGAGAAGUAGGCUUGCUGUAACUUGCCCUGAAAAAGACAUUUUCUUUCAUGGAAAAACAGCUACAUGAUUUGACUGUGGCAAACUGACCUUUCUUUAUCUGGAGAAGAGAAAAACAACUCUGAAGACAUGGCAACUAAAAUCCUUUGAAGACUUAUUCAGUUAACGAGUUGUAAAAGAGGACAGUUAGAGAAAUGAAUCCAAGCAUAGCUGAUUGUCAAGUAAUGCCAGCUUCAGAGGAGCCCUGGAGUUUAAGUGAUA
rnacentral:lncRNA from 10 species